rnacentral:rRNA from 1 species
CCUUGUACACACCGCCCGUCACACCAUGGGAGUGGGUUGUACCAGAAGUAGGUAGCCUAACCGCAAGGGGGCGCUUACCACGGUAUGAUUCAUGACUGGGGUG